UCUAGCAUGAAGUCAGACAAGUGAACCCGCUGA
rnacentral:rRNA from 1 species